rnacentral:misc_RNA from 1 species
UUUCCGUAGGUGAACCUGCGGAAGGAUCAUUCAUAAUAAGUGUUUUAUGGCACUUUUUUAAAUCCAUAUCCACCUUGUGUGCGAUGUCAGGGUUGAUUUUUCUCUCGAGAGGAUCAACCCCAAACAUCAACUAUAUCUCAACUCUUUGUCUGAAAAAUAUUAUGAAUAAAACAAUUCAAAAUACAACUUUCAACAACGGAUCUCUUGGCUCUU